rnacentral:misc_RNA from 1 species
AAUGUGACGAGUCGACAAUUGACAUCAAAUAAUCGAGGAUUUGGCGGCAAACUAAGAAAACGAGAAAGUUCGCAUAUCGACUCUCUCGUCUAUCACACACGUGGUUCGUGCUGUAAUUCAAAUCAACGGUCAAAACUUGGGGUCAAGCACUCGAAAGUAGAUAAUUCACCUGCAAAAAGAGUGAGGACAGGCAGUGAUGUGAUGUUUUGUUGCAGUUUUGAGAAUUUCACGUAGAUUUCUUAAUCUACAGUUACAUUUGGGAAUGAAAGUUUGCUAUAUGUUCUUUCCGUAAAAGAUUUGUUGGUUAUAAAUAAGCACCGUGAAAGUGGAAUUGUCAGUGUACGAUAUCCUCGGAUACUGAAAUCUUGUACAAUGGAAAUCUCGGGGGUAAAACUACAUAAAAAAAUUCGGGAAAUCGUUCCUGAAAUAUCGCAAAGCAUUACACCAGAAGUUUUGAAUAAACUUUGUGAUCAACCAGUGAGCCAGCCAUUUCUAGAAUGGUUUUGUUCCCACGUAACUCAAGCUAAUGUUCUAUCAGAAGAAGAUAUAUUGAUUAAACAGCACCUACAAAAAACAGGCAAAUGGGUCACCGAGAAUCUAGAUGCCUUAAUUGAAAAGGCUACUAUAGAUUAUCCAGAGCUGCUGCAACUUGUAGAACCUGGUAAAAGGGAUGAAAAUUCUAUCCAUGAAAUGGAAAAAAAAGCAUUCGAAGAAGAUGCUGCUUAUUUACAAAAGCUAGAGGAUAGCAUAAAAAUUCUAAAGGAACAGGAAGAUAAACUAGCUGAAGAAAUUGAACAUGAGCAAAUUGAACUUGAUAAAGAUAAUAUAGAAGUAGAAGAGUGCUACAAAGAUAACUUAGAUCUUUUGAGAGAUUUUGAAGAAGUUCACAAGCUACUUCACAGUGACGUAGAACAUUUAAUCAACAUUUACGCAGAUGCUGCUGAAAUGAAAGGACCUUCGAUAGUUUGGACCCAGAUGCCUUUAGAACUAUGUAAAAAUCAGACCGAAAUGUACAUAAACUAUUUGUCUGCUUAUAUAAAACGACGGUUUGGAAACAACUCCAGAGAUGAGCACACGAGUGACUCAGACUAUGAUACUUUCACAGAAGAUAGCAGAGACCGACGUGGUGAAGAAAUGCUUCAAGAGUUAUCCACUUGUCUCAGAAAGCUAACAACUUCAAGGUUUGAAGAAGUAACAGCAAAAGUUAGCGCAGAUGCUUGUGCAGCUAUCGAAGAGCUUGCGAUAAAUAUCUAUAACAAUGGCAGUCCAAGAUUACCACAGUCUCAAGCUCAACUUGAGUUGGAAGUUGUAGAGCUGAGCGGUCGAAGAGAUUUUUUGGAAGAAAACGUACGACUCCUGAGAGAGAACCGUUUAGAAGAGUCUAUCACUCAAUCAUCAGAAUUAGUAAUAACCGAAAUCGUUUUACAAGAUGCCCAAUCACGCUAUGAGCAAAGAGAACGCCGUUUAUUCGAUAUGCUGAGGCUACGGGAGCUGGCAUCUGAACAUGGGCAUGCUCAUUCCGACCUACUUUGUAUGUUGAUGGAAUUACAGUACCGUCGACUUAUGGAAGCACUUGAAAUUGUUGCUGAUGCUCGACACUACCUUGCUACUGAAUAUUUACUUUCUUCUACGAGAAACAAUGUCAUGCUGGAACUACAAGCCGAGUAUGAAACAACGUGCUCUGAUUUGCCCGCGAAAACUAACGUGUAUAAUAAAAUCUUUAUUUCCAUGAUGAACGGCGACCCAAACGACAGAGAUUCAAUGGCCUUGUCGAUGAGGCUUCUCAAACAAUUAGUAGUAGAUAACGACGCGAACGAGGAGAAAAUGUUUGGCAUUGAGCUUGCCGAACGAAUAAACGGGGUCAAGUUAUUGGAAGAGAAGGUCAACGAAGUUUAUGAACGAGAAACAAAUAGCGGGCCUAGUUCGAGUUUGAAGCCAAUGUCCUUCGUGGUAGCUUUACGGACGGAGGAAGCUGAGGUCCGUGUUUCCCAACUUCAAAAUGAAGUUUCUAUUCGCAGGAAUCGAUUGAAAGAAAAAUUGAGGAAAAAUUGCGACGGAUUUGAGUGGGAGAGUACAAUUCUCUGGCAAAGAUUUCUGGCAGAUCCAAACUCCAUGAGUGAAGUCUAUCAAGAAGCUCAAAGGCGGUUGGAACAACUUCACUACGCUAGCGGCUACUGAACUGUAAUUCUGAAUGAGGGACCCAAUCCUUGAAUAUUCCUACAACUUCACCCGGAUUUCAUCCCCAUCCCAAUGUAUGGAGUUGCGAUACGAAAUAUAAGGAACAUCUAUGUUACAUACUAGACAACGUUAGCUAUGUAUUUAUCCGCACACGUGUAUGUU